rnacentral:rRNA from 1 species
CCUACGGGGGGCUGCAGUGGGGAAUAUUGGACAAUGGGGGGAACCCUGAUCCAGCCAUGCCGCGUGUGUGAAGAAGGCCCUCGGGUUGUAAAGCACUUUCAGUGAGGAAGAACGCCUGGUGGUUAAUACCCAUCAGGAAAGACAUCACUCACAGAAGAAGCACCGGCUAACUCACGUGCCAGCAGCCGCGGUAAUACGGAGGGUGCGAGCGUUAAUCGGAAUUACUGGGCGUAAAGCGCGCGUAGGUGGCUUGAUAAGCCGGUUGUGAAAGCCCCGGGCUCAACCUGGGAACGGCAUCCGGAACUGUCAAGCUAGAGUGCAGGAGAGGAAGGUAGAAUUCCCGGUGUAGCGGUGAAAUGCGUAGAGAUCGGGAGGAAUACCAGUGGCGAAGGCGGCCUUCUGGACUGACACUGACACUGAGGUGCGAAAGCGUGGGUAGCAAACAGGAUUAGAUACCCGUGUAGUC